rnacentral:snoRNA from 1 species
AUGCCUAAAAUGACAGUAUAGCUAAUAAGUGCUAUGUUGUCAUUCCUCCCACUCAAAGCAAUAUUUCUUCUUAACUAUACCUGUCUGCUAGACACCUGUAGCAGCAAGGGAUGCUUGGUCCCAGGCAU